AAAAUUGUUACAGCAAUAGUUAUGAUCUCUGGAGACACAGUUGUGAUUAUUGGAGGUGCAUUUGUUGUGGUAAUGUGUGUUGCCUGGCUUAGAGCUGGAACUAUAUUAGUGAAAGCAACAGUUGUGCUUGAUAGAGGUGCAGUUGUUAUUUGGAAUGCAGUUGUUGUUGCCACUGUAGGAGUGUUCUUGCUUGAUGUCGUUGGAUCAUUAGUUGUUUUAGAUGUGGUUGAUGAAGCUGUAGUUGUGGUCUCUGCUGUUGUACUUUCUGAAGUGGUAGGCAGUGUUGUUGAAGUAAUGGGUGUGGUUUCUGUACUCACAACUGUGGAGGUGGGAGUUUCAGUAGUUGGGGAUGCUGUAGUUAUUGAUCUUGUUACAGGUGCAGUUGUUUCUGAAGAUGUAGGCAUUGUUGAAGUAAGAGUUGUGGAUUCAGAAGUUACAGCUGUUGAUGUUGUUGGAUCAUGUGUUGCAGUAGAUGUGGUUGAUAAAGCUGUAGUCGUGGUUUCUGCUGUUGUACUUUCUGAAGUUGUAGUCAGUGUUGUUGAAGUAGUAGUUGUGGUGGUCUCUGUACUCACAACUGUGGUUGUUGGAAUUUCGCUAGUUGACAAUCCUUUAGUUGCUGAUGUUGUUACAGGUGCAGUUGUUUCUGAAGAUGUAGGUAUCGUUGUUGAAGUAAGAGUUGUGGAUUCUGAAGUUACAGCUGUUGAUGUUGCUGGAUUGUUUGUUUUUGUAGAUGUGGUUGAUGAAGCUGUAGUUGUGGUUUCUGCUGUUGUACUUUCUGAAGUUGUAGGCAGUGUUGCUGAAGUAGUAGUUGUGGUCUCUGUACUCACAACUGUGGUUGUUGGAAUUUCACUAGUUGACAAUCCUUUAGUUGCUGUUAUUCUUACAGGUGCAAUUGUUUCUGAAGAUGUAGGUAUCGUUGUUGAAGUAAGAGUUGUGGAUUCUGAAGUUACAGCUGUUGAUGUUGCUGGAUUGUUUGUUGUUGUAGAUGUGGUUGAUGAAGCUGUAGUUGUGGUUUCUGCUGUUGUACUUUCUGAAGUUGUAGGCAUUGUUGUGGAAGCAAUAGUUGUGGUUUCUGUACUCACAACUGUGGUGGUGGGAAUUUCAGUAGUUGAGGAUGCUGUAGUUAUUGAUGUUGUUACAGGUGCAGUUGUUUCUGAAGAUGUAGGUAUCGUUGUUGAAGUAAGAGUUGUGGAUUCUGAAGUUACAGCUAUUGAUGUUGCUGGAUUGUUUGUUGUUGUAGAUGUGGUUGAUGAAGCUGUAGUUGUGGUUUCUGCUGUUGUACUUUCUGAAGUUGUAGGCAUUGUUGUGGAAGAAAUAGUUGUGGUUUCUGUACUCACAACUGUGGUGGUGGGAAUUUCAGUAGUUGAGGAUGCUGUAGUUAUUGAUGUUGUUACAGGUGCAGUUGUUUCUGAAGUUGUAGGAAUUGUUGUUGAAGUAAGUGUUAGGGAUUCUGAAGUUACUACUGUUGAUGUUGUUGGAUUGUUUGUUAUUGUAGAUGUGGUUGAUGAAGCUGUAGUGGUGGUUUCCACUGUUGUACUUUCUAAAGUUGUAGGCAAUGUUGUUGAAGUAAUAGGUGUGGUCUCUGUACUUACAACUGUGGUUGUGGGAAUUUCUGUAGAUGAGGAAGCUUUAGUUACUGAUGUUGUUACAGGUGCAGUUGUAUCUGAAGAUGUAAGCAUAGUUGUUGAAGUAAGAGUUGUGGAUUCUGAAGUUACUGCUGCUGAUGUUGUUGGAUCAUUUGUUGUUGUAGAUGUGGUUGAUGAAGCUGCAGUUGUGGUCUCUGCUGUUGUUCUUUCUGAAGUUGUAGGCAGUGUUGUUGAAGUAAUAGUUGUGGUUUCCUCACAACUGUGGUGGUGGGAAUUUCAGUAGUUGAGGAUGCUGUAGUUACUGAUGUUGUUACAGGUGCGGUUGUUUCUGAAGAUGUAGGCAUUGUUGAUGUAAGAGUUGUGGAUUCUGAAGAUACAGCUGCUGAUGUCGUUGGAUCAUUUGUUGUUGUAGAUGUGGUUGAUGAAGCUGUAGUUGCGGUCUCUGUUGUUGUACUUUCUGAAGUUGUAGGCAGUGUUGUUGAAGUAAUGCGUGUGGUUUCGGUCCUCACAACUGUGUUGGUGGGAAUUUCAGUAGUUGAGGAUGCUGUAAUUACUGAUGUUGUUACAGGUGCAGUUGUUUCUGAAGAUGUAGGCAUUGUUGAAGUAAGAGUUGUCGAUUCUGAAGUUACAGCUGUUGAUGUUGUUGGAUCAUUUGUUGUUGUAGAUGUGGUUGAUGAAGCUGUAGUUGUGGUCUCUGCUGUUGUACUUCCUGAAGUUGUAGGCAGUGUUGUUGAAGUAAUAGUUGUGGUCUCUGUACUCACAUCUGUGGUUGUGGGACUUUCAGCAGUUGAGUAUGCUGUAGUUACUGAUGUUGUUACAGGUGCGGUUGUUUCUGAAGAUGUAGGCAUUGUUGAUGUAAGAGUUGUCGAUUCUGAAGUUACAGCUGUUGAUGUUGCUGGAUUGUUUGUUGUUGUAGAUGUGGUUGAUGAAGCUGUAGUUGUGGUUUCUGCUGUUGUACUUUUUGAAGUUGUAGGCAUUGUUGUUGAAGCAAUUGUUGUGGAUUCUGAAGUUACUGCUAUUGAUGUUGUUGGAUCAUUUGUUGUUGUAGAUGUAGCUAUAGUUGUGGUUUCUGCUGUUGUACUUUUUGAAGUUGUAGGCAGUGUUGUUGAAGUAAUGGCUGUUGUUUCGGUCUUCACAACUGUGGUGGUGGAAAUUUCAGUAGUUGAGGAUGCUGUAGUUGUUGAUGUUGUUACAGGUGCAGUUGUUUCUGAUAAUGUAGGCAUAGUUGUUGAAGUAAGAGUUGUGGAUUCUGAUGUUACAGCUGUUGAUGUUUUUGGAUCGUUUGUUGUAGAUGUAGUUAAUGAACCUGUAGUUGUGGUUUCCACUGUUUUAACUGUAGCAGUGGAAUGUUCAGUUGUGGCUGUGGAUGCAGUAUUUGUUGUUUCAGCUGCUUUUGUCUUUUCUGAAGACGUAGUCAUGGUUGUUGAAGCAAGUCUUUCUGUAGUUAUAACCAUUGUUGCACCUGAAGAAUCUGAUGAGGUUGGAGCUGGUUUUGCUGAGGUUGAAAUGGCAAGUAUAGUUGUUCUUUCUGAAGCCGUAUAUCCUGAAGUUGAAGACUCCUUUUUUGAAGCACUGGAUUUUAAAAAGAAAAAUAUAAUAAAUUAUAUACCUUUUAAAUUAUUAUUAACUUAAAAAAAAAAAAAAACAUGUUUGUAUUAGAUUAAAAAAGUAAUGACUAGUGGUGGGCCGUUAUCGGCGUUAACGUGCUGCAUUAACGUGAGACUCUUAUCGGGCGAUAAAAAAAUAUCGCCGUUAAUCUAUAGUACUCAAAGUUGGGUUGGGAGCUGGGUCUACUACACAAGCUAUGAUGAUUUCACCUUGAUGUUUUAGCGCGGAUGUAUAGGCUACCUAGCCGAAUUGCACUGUAGGGGGCGAGAAUGAGUCUUCGAACCUGUGUGUAUGCCUACUGUGAAAUUACCACAUCAAACGUGACGUGCUAACAUUGAUGCAGCUAUGAACCCGCCGGGUUUGUUUCAGGGGAAAAAAAAAUUAUUUUAAGAAGCUUCCCAAUGGAAACGUCGACAAGACUCACGCCUGGUUCACACUCUGUCUGCAGUGCGUAUGCAGUCCGUGUGUGUGGUGCAAAAGCAGCAUGGACUCAUUGUGCUUUCACACAGGAAGCGUUUGAACUCCGCUACUGAUCCGCGGCUGUUUAGUCC
ensembl:lncRNA